UACAGAGGCCUCAAGCGUUGUUCGGAUUCAUUGGGCGUAAAGGGUGCGUAGGCGGUCGGGUAAGUCGGAUGUGAAAUCCUGGGGCUCAACCUCAGAACUGCAUUCGAUACUGCCUGGCUGGAGGAUUGGAGAGGAGAGUGGAAUUCACGGUGUAGCAGUGAAAUGCGUAGAGAUCGUGAGGAAGACCAACGGCGAAGGCAGCUCUCUGGACAAUUCCUGACGCUGAGACACGAAGGCCAGGGGAGCAAACGGG
rnacentral:rRNA from 1 species